UGAGGAAUAUUGGGCAAUGCCCGCAAGGGUGACCCAGCAACGCCGCGUGGAGGAUGAAUGUCGUAAGAUUGUAAACUCCUGUUAGAGGGGAAGAAUAGUACCGGUUGGACCGGUAUAUGACUGUACCCUCAGAGAAAGCCCUGGCUAACUACGUGCCAGCAGCCGCGGUAAUACGUAGGGGGCAAGCGUUGUCCGGAUUUACUGGGUGUAAAGGGCGCGCAGGCGGGAUAAAAAGUCAGUGGUGAAAUCCUACAGCUUAACUGUAGAACUGCCUUUGAUACUUUUAUUCUUGAGUUCGGGAGAGAGAGACGGAAUUCCAGGUGUAGUGGUGAAAUACGUAGAUAUCUGGAAGAACACCAGUUGCGAAGGCGGUCUCUUGGUCCGACACUGACGCUGAGGCGCGAAAGCGUGGGGAGCAAACA
rnacentral:rRNA from 1 species